rnacentral:lncRNA from 1 species
UUCUUCAUAACUAGCAGGUUCUAUCUGUUCAAGGGCUUCACCUGAAACCAAGGCAAAAUCAGUCAAGUUUAGGGAUUCAUAUCUAGGAUUUGGCCUGAUUUGCCUCCUCCCCCCGAUCCCUAGUAAGCUGAUAAUCUUGAUUAGGUGGCUGAUCAUUAAAAUGUUCAACUUCAACUGGUUCAAUGUUAUCUUAAAGUUCAGUCACCUCUUCAAGUUCAGGUUCAAGUACAAUUUCAUUUUCAUUUUCAUUUUCAUGAUGUAUAGGGUCAUUUUCGUCAUUCCCAGGUGUAGGUGAAUUUAGCCUAGUCAGCUUCACCUCAGUCUGAAUACUCUUCUCAAUUUCAGAUUUGUUAGUUUCUUCGGUUUUCUGUUUUAGACAUGGCAUCUCAGAUUCAUUAAAGACUACAUUCCUGCUGUUAAUAAUCUUAAUGCCUUGGACCCCUAAAACCCAUAACCUAUAGCCCUUCACACCCUCGGGAUACCCUAACAUCACACACUUGACAGCCCUGGGCUCAAGUUUCCCUUCAGAUUGAUGUGCAUAUGCAGCACAUCCAAACACCCUCAAGUGUUCUAGAUUUGGAGGCUCUCCCGUCCACAACUCCUGUGGGGUCUUAAACCCUAUACUGCUGGAUGGAGACCUAUUAAUCAGAUAAGCUGCAGUACUUGCAGCUUCAGCCCAAAAACCUUUCGCAAGGCCAGAGCUAAUCAACAUACACCUAACUUUGUUCAUUAUGGUCCUGUUCAUUCUUUCAGCGACCCCAUUUUGUUCAGGUGUGUAUUUAACAGUUCUGUGUCUUGUUAUACCUUUCUGCUUACAGAAGUUGUCAAAUUCGCUAUUACAAAAUUCAAG